GAUACUCAGGGCACACAGCAUAUAGAGUAUUCUUGUUCCGCAAAAAACAGUACCUCUGCUGCUGCUGUACACUCUGCUGCUUCAGAGUCGCUGUUUAACACUGUGGGUUCACCCUUGAAUUCUUCCUGGAUGAAGCCAAGAACCCUCCUGGGCUAAGCCUCAAUUUUGGGGCUUGCCUGUCCUGCGUCAGCAUGAGUACGGACUUUGGGGUUACAAAUAGGUGCAUUUGCAAAUAUGGAAUCCACGAAUGAUGAAGAUAGACUAUCACUGGGUACCACCGGAAUUCUCUGACCUGAUAACUUCAUAUGCAAAUCCUGGCUGGUCCUUGGAACAGGAGAAAGGGUUGGAAAACAAAGAUCACUUUUCUCUGGCCAAAUGGAAUCACCCAACAAAGUACCUUCCUGAUGGGCCAGCUAUUUCAGAUGAUGAAGGUUUAAGAAGCAGCAUCAUCAGCGAACUGUGUUUUGAAGAUUUGAGGGAAGGGCUGACCUCAGGAUUUUAUACUAGUUGCUGACCUCCAUAACAGCAGACAAAAUUGGAAGCAAGAGUGAUUUUGGAGGAGUCACACUUAGAUGUUUCCCUUACCUAUUUCUGUUCUGGAAAUUUAAAAAUCUUACUUCUCGUGACAGUCCUACAUGAAAAAUUAAAAAUCACAAGGAUUCAUGGAUGGAAAACUGAGACUCAGAGAAUGAUCACAUUCACAUCGUAAUAAAUCAGCAAUAGAGUGAGUGAUUGUUCCUUGGUAAGAAAUCAACUCUAAACUCAGUUGGAAACCUUUGCCAAUAUUACUUAACACAUGACAAUCUGGUGUGACUCAUUUUUCUUGACAUUAUGCAAAUAAAGGAAACAAGACUGAGUGGCCUUCUGUCCGGAGAGCAGGAAAUGAAGGCUGUCUGGGGCCACAUGUUUCCUGGGACAUGUGGUGUCAGAAAUGGGUACUAGAAGAACCAGGCCUUUGUUCAUGUCUUUUAUUUUUUAUUUUUGUUUUUUUUUAGAUGGAGUCUCACUCUGUCGCCCAGGCUGAAGUGCAGUGGCACUGUCUCGGCUCAUUGCGACCUCCGCCUCACCGGUUCAAGCAAUUCUCCUGCCUCAGCCUCCCGAGUAGCUGGGAUUAUAGGCGCCCGCCACUACACCCAGCUAAUUUUUGUAUUUUUAGUAGAGACAUGGUUUCACCAUGUUAGCCAGGCUGGUCUAGAACUCAUGACCUCGUGAUCCACCCGCCUCCGCCUCCCAAAGUGCUGGGAUUACAGGCGUGAGCCACGGUGCCUGGCUGCCAUUGUUCAUUUCUAUUUCAUGAGUGAUCGGCUCUUGUUGGCCAUGGCUGGAGGAGUCAGCUCCCAAAAUCCACACUCUCUAGGAGUGCUGAACCAUAAAUAAUCUAUCAGGACUCCUAGAUUCCACUCUCUAGAGCUGCAACCAGAAGUUCCUUCCUUCCCGGCCCUGCUUCCCACUAAAGGAAACAUUUGACUUUUGGGGAUGAGAUGUUUCAAGCCAGCCAAUCCUUCUCACAGGAAGCAGAACCCCAGCCACCAUGGAGCUUAUCCUUGGGGCGCAGAGAAACACUGACCUAAUGCUGUAAUCAAGUACUGGAUUUUAUUUUUAAAUCUUUUUACCUCACAAGCUGACUUUAUUCUGGCUAGAGGGCUCCUGAACCUCUGUAAACUCCCCAGGAGGUAAUUUCCAGUGCUAAUCUCGCUAACGAGGUGUCAGUUACAGAAAUGGCCCACGCCCUGGUUUCUUCUAAGUGGACAUUACAGUGUUUCUUCAGAGGGGCCUGUGCUGGGACACCUCGGAAAUGGAAGAAUUUAUAGCAAGGAUGUUAUUUCUCACUAAGUGAGCAGAAGAGCUGGAAGAUCUCUUUAGAGAUCAUUAGAAGGAUGGGGAAACUGAGGCUCAGAGAAGGGCAGUGGCUGCCCGAGGCCACAGAGCUGAGUGGCAGCAGGGUUGGGUUAGAGACUGGACCUUGUGGCGGAGCUGGCCUGCUUUGGGCUGUUCCACACACCACUGACUUUCUAGAUUGUUUCAUGUUCAUGGAAUCAUCCUCAAACUCUACUCCCCAAAAUUGUACCAUAGAUUAACUUCGGGCACCCCCCAAGUCAAAACUUCAACAGCUAAGGGACACGGAUCAUGCGGCCUGCUGAACACGCCAUCAAGUGGGGCAAAGUCUUCUUUCUUUGUGAUCAGGGUAUGCACUCUCCCUUGGCCUCUGAAUAAGCUGUACCCAGGGUUCCUCGAUGACUCAGCUGCAGCAGGCUAUCCACCACACAUGUCCGUGGCCACCACGGCGGGAACCGGGCUCACCAUCACUUACCACUAGAGAUGUCAAACCACCCCCCUCCUAACCCAGGCCCCACUGCGGCCUCCCUGCCCUGCUCCAGCCUCGGUCUGUUGUGCAAGAGCCAGAGGGGACUUACGAUCACGGAGCCACACGCCCAGGCCCAACCCAGGCCCAGGAGCUCCACCCUAGGGAAACGCCUAAGUCAGAACAGAGCACUCCUAACCCCCCGGGGCAAGGAGGGGAGGCCAGGCAGCCGGAAGGAAACUCCUGAGCUUUUUACGGAAUGCACAAGACAAAAGGUGAGGGUCUCCACGUAGGGAAAGAACGCAUUAUUAUUUACGGCCUUGGUCUGGAGAGGAGAACAUGCUGCUCUUUGCAGCCCGGCGUGUGAUUCAUUUCCCCCGGGAGCUGCAGGGCCGAGGCAGGGCGUGCGCUCCGGCAGCCUCCAGACAGCCGCGCACUCCCGCCCGCUCGUUUAUUUAUGGUGCUUUAUCAGCGGCUGUGCACCGCGGCGAUAAAGUUUAUGAAAAGAGGCGGCGUCUCCGGCCGGCGGGCUGGGCCCGGCGCUCCUUUCCCACACUGAUUAGGAUCAGCCAGGGCUUUGGAAGCUGCAGUUAAGGAUCUCGGGUGCCCGGAGCCUCGGCUCCCCCUUCCUGCCCCGCCCGCGGGCUGGCCGGCUGCUGGCCCGCGUGGGAGGCGAGGUCAGGGCUGCGGCCGCGGCCCUUCCCCUGGGAGCGGGAGGGAGGAGGGAGGAGGAGGAGAGAAGCCGCCCUGCGGGGGAGGGAGCUCCAAGGCCCCGGGAAGUGGGACAGCCAGAGAAAAAUACCGUCCAAAUAUAAAUGGGCAAGUCCCCACGUUAAGAGAUGAACGAGAAUUUUUUAUUUUUUGAGACAGAGUCUCGCUCUGUUGUCCGGGUUGGAGUGCAGUGGUGAGAUCUUGGCUCACUGCAACCUCCGCCUCCGGGGUUCAAGGGAUUCUCCAGCGUCAGCCUCCCGAGUAGCUGGGAUUACAAGCGCCUGCCACCAGGCCUGGCUAAUUUUUGUAUUUUUAGUAGAGAUGGGGUUUCACCAUGUUGGUCAGGCUGGUCUCGAACUCCUGACCUCAGGUGAUCCACCCAACUCGGCCUCCCAAAGUGCUGAGAUUACAGGCGGAACAGGAAUUUAAUAGGAAUUUUUCUCCUCUGAAGGCGGUGCACCGUCUCCUCUCCCCCAUUUACUUUCCUACAUUCCUUUCUCCUUUCCCGUCAUUUCACCUGCAUUUACUGUGUCUUUGCAUUAAGGCUUGAUUCAUUUUGUCCCUUUUCAUAGCCAUGUUUUGUUCAGUCCUUCAGAAGAUAGAAAUUGAACACCUGACUUGUGGACAGCACCUCUAAACACUGCAGAGAGAGAUUCAGAGAUGAAUAGCCCUGGCCCUUAGGGUUCUUGCGGUCACAAGCACCGUCCAGUAAGAGCAGCCCAUGGUUAUGAGUAACAAGAGCAGACACUACGGCAGGCACUUGGUUUAGGGACAUUGCCUUGUUUCAUCCUCACGGUGACUUCAGGAGGACAGUGCCAUCGUUACGCCGUUUAACAGAUGGUAAAACUGAGGCCCAGAGAGGGGAGUGCCUUGCUUCAGAUGACUCAGCAACGCAGUGGCUGAGCAAGGAUUUGAACUCAGGCAGAAUGGUGGCAGAGCCUGUUUGCCUAACUUCUAAAUUUCCCUAACUCUCUAGAACAGAGGGUAGUAGGAGUGCAGCAGACAGGACAACUAACCCUGCCUGGAAAAGUCAUGGUGGGCUUCCCGGAGGAGGCGUCCUUAGGCUGGGGCUUGAAGACGAGGUAUUUACCAGACAAAUAGUGGAGAAGAAGGCUGUCUUAAACAGAAAAAACUUCUUAUGUGGUCCUGGGUUCUGAGGGCCCAGCUCUUCUCACCCUCCUUCUCCGAGGAGUGGGGGAACGGAAGUGCAGAGCCUUCGUGUUUUACCCUCCUUCUCCGAGGAGUGGGGAACGGAAGUGCAGAGCCUUUAUGUUUUGUGACAGUGGAAUCCCCUUCGCGGGCCACCUCCUCGAUCUGAAAGGCUCUAUCUGCAGCUACUGAAUUCCCUUCAGCUCGUAAGUCUUAAUAGCAAUGUCAUCCCCUUCUGAAAACUUUCCUGGACUGCUCCUUAUCUUGCUGCCGGUGAUUGAAAGCAAUCCUUUCCUCUCUCUUCCCUCACACCUGCCUGUUUGCAUUAAAGUUCUUGAGUUGGACUCCAUCAGUCUUUAUUUUUUAUUUGUUUAAUUUAUUUUUUAGAGACAGGGUCUCACAAUGUCACCCAGGCUGGAGAGCCGUGGCAUGAUAAUGGCUUACUGCAGCCUCAUCCUCCUGGCCUCAAGCAAUCCUCCUGCCUCAGCCUGCCAAGUAACUAGGACUACAGGUGUGUGCCACCAUGCCUGGCUAAUUUUAUUUUAUUUUUUUGAGACAGAGUCUUGCUCUGUAGCCCAGUCUGGAGUGCAAUGGCGUCAUCUCGGCUCACUGCAAGCUCCGCCUCCUGGGUUCAAGCGAUUCUCCUGUCUCAGCCUCCAGAGUAGCUGGGAUUACAGGCGUGUGCCACCAUGCCCAGCUAAUUUUUGUAUUUUUAGUAGAGAGGGGGUUUCACCAUGUUGGCCAGGCUGGUCUCGAACUCCUGACCUCAGGUGAUCUGCCUUCCUCAGCCUCCCAAACUGUUGGGAUUACAGGCGUGAGCCGCUGCACCUGGCCUCUGGCUAAUUUAAAAAAAUUUUUUGGCCAGACACGGUGGCUUCCAUCUUUAAUACCGGCACUUCAGGAGGCCAAGGCAGGAGAUUUGCUUGAGCCCAGUAGUUUGAGACCAGUCUGGGCAACAUAAGAAGACCCCCAUCUCUACAAAAAAAAAAAUAAAUAAAAAAAAAAAAAAUAAGCCAGGCAUGGUGGCGCUCGUCUGUGGUCCCAGCUAAUACGGAGGUUAAGGUGCAAGGAUUGCAUGAGCCUGGGAGGUCAAGGCUGCAGUGAACUCUGAUCACAUUCCAGCCUGUGACUGUACUCCAGCCUGAGUGACAGAGCAAGACCCUGUCUCAAAAUAAAUAAAUACAUACAUACAUAAAUAAAUAAGUUUAAUUUAAAAAUAAAUUUAUUUCUGUAGAGAUGGGUCUCACUCUUUUGCCCAGGCUGGUCUUGAACUCCUGGCCUCAAGUGAUUCUCCCAAGUUGACCCCCCAAAGUGCUGGAAUUAUAGGCAUAAGCCACUGCACCCAGCCCAUUAGUGUUUAUUACUAGACUGUGAGUUCCUGGAGAGCACUGGUAUACUCAUUUGCUUCUUACUUGCUUCUGCCCAGGCUGGUUUAGUAUCCUACUCAUAGAAGGUUCUUAGUAACCGCAUUUGGUGAAUAAAUGGAGGAGAGUGGGAAGGCUGUGAUCGAAUAGGUAUCUCUUGUCUCCUCUUUACCCCUUGAUAAAUUUCACAAUCAAGCAAGCUAAAAAUGGAGAUGUGUGUCUCCACCAGACAAGGUCUGGACCACUCUCUGCCAAGACAGCACGAAGAGCAGGACACUGCCAGCAACCAGCACGCUUGCUUUCCAUUAAGCGGAUCCUUUGUGCUGAAACAGAUUUGCAGUCCUGCCAAACCAGACGAUGCUGCUGGCAGGAAGAUGCACAUGGUCUGAUGUUAAUGCAAGAGUGAGAAAACCUCUGUGGCACAGUCAUGGGAG
rnacentral:lncRNA from 1 species